CUCGCCCCGCCCCGGCCCGGCCGGCUCCACGGACGCGCUCGUGCUCUCCUAGUUCGCCUUUGCGCAUGUGCAGUUGCCUAACGACUGAACUCCGAGGAACGAAGCAGAUAGGGUCUCAGUUUGUUGCCCAGCUGGUCUGGAACUCCUGGCUUCAAGCAAUCCUUCUGCCUUGGCCUCCUAAAGUGCUGGAAUUACAGGCAUGCCCAGGCCUUUAUUAUUUUGAGGCCUUUCUCCAUUGUGGACUUUUUGAUGCUAAAAGACAUUGGUGACACCUUCAGGUAAAGGCUUUCAACAUUCAUUGUAUUCAUAAGGCCUUUUCCAGUGUGGCAGAUCUGCUUGAGGCCCAACUCUAUCAUCACCUAACUCUCUGACCCAAAAAAAGAAGAAUGAGGAAUGCAACCACACCUACGUGGACUUUUUCACAAGAUAAUGCCUGCCUGCCUCUCAGGCUCAUUCAAAUUCGAAAGGGAAUCAUCUAUGUUUUGGAAACCAAGGAAUGUACACCUAACUCUAUCUACAGAAGUUGGGAUGGACCGUAUGAGGAAGCGAAUGUGAGCUAAGGCCAUAACAAGUAUCAUUCGCUAGAGGAGAAAGAAAGAGAGACAGGGUCUUGCCAUGUUGCCCAGACUGGUCUUGAACUCCUGGACUCAAGAGAUUCUCCUGCCUUGACCUCCCAAAGUGCUGGGAUUACAGGUGUUUGUUUGUUUGUUUCUUGGAGAUGGAAUCUGGCUCUGGCAUGAUCUCAGUUCACUGCAACCUCUGCCUCCCGGGUUCAAGCGAUUCUUCUGCCUCAGCCUCCUAAGUAGCUGGGACUACAGAGACUGGGUCUCACUAUGGUACACAGGCUGGUCUCGAAUUCCUGAGCUCAAGUGAUUCCCCCACCUGGGCCUCUCAAAGCAUUGGGAUUACAGAUAUGAGCUACCAUGUUCCACCAAGAGCUGCUGCUUUUUAUUAAUAUUUGAAACCACCUUUUUUUUUUUUUAAUUUCAUGGAUCAUAGGAAACAAUAAAACCACCUCCUGGUUCCACUUCCACGUACCUAGCACAAUGCCUGGCACCUUCUCAAACUCCAAUAAAUACUGGAUGAAGGAAAGUUUAUGAUCUUAACUGUGAUUUCUGUUUGGAUUCAGUUCAUGUAAAAAUGGAGGAACCAGCCAUGAAUUCUCAAAUAAGUUUCAGUCUGUGGCAAGCACAGGUCAGGGAGAGGCAUCAGGGGAAACCACUGAAAACAUGUCUGGAGAUCAUUGUAAAAAAAAGAGAAGUGCCUAUAACUGAAAGAGUGCCUGGCCCCAGAAUAUUUUGUAUAAUGAAAAUGUUAUAGGGUUCUGGUCUCUGCUUCUUGAAGAUAAAAUGGAGCUAGAAAAGAUCCAGAGGACACUAAAAAUAAUUAAGGGCAGAAGUAAUCAUGUAAAAUUUUUUAAAAGCCAUUGCAAAAAAGUUCAUCUUAAACUCAUGAAGAAUAGCAUGAUUUUCUCAAAUCCUGAAAAAAAUUAAAAAAAGGCCACAUUCCUUGAAGCCUGACCUUCCAACAAAAAUAAAAGGAAGUAGCUCUGUGAAUAGCAUGUGCUAAAAUAUACAAUCCAUUACUCCAAGAAGCAGUGGCUACAGAAAGUAAACACUACCAUACAGGGCUGGGCUCAGGGUCAAGCCAGCCAGGCAGUUGCCGAAGGUGCCUCGCAGAGCCUCAAAUAAAUUAUAAUGUGGUUGGUGUUUGUUAACUUACAUUUCCACAUACGGCUUCUUACAAGUUUACAUCUAUAAAAUUUCCCUGGCACUGUUGAAACAAAUGAUGACUGUGAGUAGAAUUUAAAGAAAAGAGGCCAGGCAUGGUAGCUCAUGCCUGUAAUCCCAGCACUGUAGCAGGCUGAGGUGGGAGGAUCACCUGAGGUCAGGAGUUCAAAACCAGCCUGGUCAACAUGGUGAAACCCCAUCUCUACUAAAAGUAAAAAAAUUGGCUGGGCAUGGUGGCUCAUGCCUGUAAUCCAAGUGCUUUGGAGGCCAAGACGGGCGGAUCACCUGAGGUCAGGAGUUCAAGACCAGCCUGACCAACAUGAUGAAACCCCAUCUUAAAAAAAAAAAAAGUACAAAAAUUAGUUGAGCAUGGUGGCUGCUACUCAGGAGGCUGAGGCAAGAGAAUCACUUGAAUCCAGGAGGCAGAGCCAAGAUUAUGCCAUUGUACUGCAGCCUGGAAGACAAGAGUGAAACUCUGUCUCAAAAAAAAAAAAAAAAAGAAUUUAAAGAAAGGAAAAACAAAAAUCUCAUCAUGUGAAUUCAUCUGGUUUGGAAUAUUUCUGAAUUGUACACAUAAGCAGUCGCAUCAACUAAAGCUCUGAAUUUAACAAUGAAUGGAUGGCCUUGGUGCUGUUUACCAGAAGCAGCAAGUGAUUUAUUAACUGCAUUUUAAUCUCUUUAAUAUACCUAACAAAAAGUUAUCUUGUUCCAAACAAAAUCACAAAAGGAAGCUAGACGGAGAACAAGAACCACAGAGAAAUGGGAAUUAUUGUGCAAGGUUUUUUU